UACGAGAGGUGCAAGCGUUAUUCGGAAUCAUUGGGCGUAAAGGGUGCGUAGACGGCAUUGUAAGUCUGUUGUUAAAUUCUUGGCCUAACUGAGAGUCUGCAACGGAAACUGUUUGCUAGAGGGUGAGAGAGAGAAGUGGAAUUCUCGGAGUAGCGGUCAAAUGCGUAGAUCUCGAGAGGAACACCGAUGGCGAAGGCAGCUUCUUGGCUCAUUCUGACGUUGAUGCACGAAAGCGUGGGGAGCAAACAGG
rnacentral:rRNA from 1 species